rnacentral:tRNA from 1 species
GCGCUCGUAGCUCAGUUGGAUAGAGCAGCGGACUUCUAAUCCGCAGGUCGCAGGUUCGAGUCCUGCCGGGCGCG